UACGGAGGGGGCGAGCGUUGUCCGAAGUUACUGGGCGUAAAGGGCGCGUAGGCGGGAGGCCAAGUCCGCUGUGAAAGCCUGAGGCUCAACCUCAGCGGGUCGGUGGAGACUGGUCUUCUUGAAGGUGUCAGGGGGAGAUGGAAUUAUCGGUGUAGCGGUGAAAUGCGUAGAGAUCCGGAGGAACACCAGUGGCGAAGGCGACACGCUGGGCCGUACCUGACACUAAAACGCGACAGCAUGGGGAGCGAACGGG
rnacentral:rRNA from 1 species